UGGGGAAUAUUGGACAAUGGGCAAAAGCCUGAUCCAGCAAUGCCGCGUGAGUGAUGAAGGCCUUAGGGUUGUAAAGCUCUUUUACCCGGGAUGAUAAUGACAGUACCGGGAGAAUAAGCCCCGGCUAACUUCGUGCCAGCAGCCGCGGUAAUACGAAGGGGGCUAGCGUUGUUCGGAUUUACUGGGCGUAAAGCGCGCGCAGGCGGCCAUUCAAGUCAGGGGUGAAAGCCCAGAGCUCAACUCUGGAACUGCCUUUGAAACUGUAUGGCUUGAGUAUGAGAGAGGUGAGUGGAAUUCCCAGUGUAGAGGUGAAAUUCGUAGAUAUUGGGAAGAACACCGGUGGCGAAGGCGGCUCACUGGCUCAUUACUGACGCUCAGGCGCGACAGCGUGGGGAUCAAAC
rnacentral:rRNA from 1 species